UACGGGGGGGGCAGCGUUGUUCGGAAUUACUGGGCGUAAAGGGUUUGUAGGUGGCUUGCUAAGUCAGACGUGAAAUCCCUCAGCUUAACUGGGGAACUGCGUCUGAGACUGGCGAGCUUGAGUGCAGGAGAGGAACGCGGAAUUCCAGGUGUCAGCGGUGAAAUGCGUAGAUAUCUGGAGGAACACCGGUGGCGAAGGCGGGUCUCUGGGCCGUAACUGACGCUGAGGAGCGAAAGCGUGGGGAGCGAACAGG
rnacentral:rRNA from 1 species